UCUGAGCAAGAAGUCAGAGAGCUGUGCUCCCGAUGGCCUGAGCGCAGCAGCGACAAUUAUGCUGUGACUACCUGUGGGGGCCACGUGGCAAGGAACUGCGGACAGCCUCCAGGAACAGAGAGGGGUCGCUGGCCUACAACCAGCAAGAAAACAGGGACCUCAGUCUCUAGCAGAAAGGAAAUGCAUUCCGUCAACAACACACGAGCUUGGAAGAGGACGCUGGGGCUUAGAUGAGCUAGUAGCCCCCGCCAACACCUUCAUUUCAGCCUGGAGAGAUCCUGAACAGAGACCCCACCCAAGCAUGAGCUAAAGGCCUGUGACAUAAUACAUCUCUCUUGUUUAAUGGCACCAAGUUUAUGGUAAUUUGUUUUAUGUAGCUAUAGAAGAUGAAUAUAAAUAUACAUAUAUUUUCUAGAAGCAUGUAUUGCACAAUAUAUUGCAUCAGCAUAAAGUGUAAGAGGCCUUUUCAAAGAGAGCCAAAAAAACAGAGGCUUCGAGAACAUUGGAGCUUGUUGCCCUCACCCUCCGGAAUCCUGAGUGAGCAGUGCAGGUCCAGGGCCGCUUUGCUCUGCACCGGCAUUCGGGUGCUUGUGUCGCCCUGGCGAUCCCCCAGAAAGAGCCUUGUCCUCAUCAGCAGGAUCAAAGCCUUGUUUAAUCUGAUGGAAUGGGCUCCUAAAUCUUGCUGGUGGCCUCAGCCAGGACCCGGUUCAUUGUCCAUUAUUUCCUCAAGGCGUGAUGGUUUUCUCCAGGAGACAUGUAAGCACAAUACAGAACACAGAAGUAUUUUCCACUGUCCCUGCCAUGUAAGCCCAAUUACAAAUUUCUUGUUAAAUCUCAUUACGAAAUAUGCAAACCUAUAUGAAUAUGUUUGGUGUUUUGUUGUGUGCCCUUAAUAUUUUUUUUGAAAUUACCAGGAAAGAAUAGAUUCUAAAAUGCAGUGGUUCAUCCCUCAGACCUCAUUAUUCUGUCCUCACAAUGUGCAUCACAAUGAAAUGACUGACUAAGGACUCUGAAUACAAGUAAAUAUAGAAGCUCUAUGUAAAUACGCUUGUCGAAUCAGGAGAAAGAAAGAAAAGGCUCGGAGGAGUUGUUUAUGCUUUCUUUCAUCUGAAGUGCCAUUUUCUCUGUACAUCAGAUAGCAUAUUGAUUUUAGUGUACUUCAAUUCUCAAUUUUCCAUAAACCAUAAAAACCUUAAUGGCUUCUCCAAAGCUCAAGUGAGAAACAAUCAAUUAAUUUUCCCAGUAGUUCAACUCUGUCAAAAUUAAAGUGCUAUUUUAAUGAAUUUUUCAGACAUUUAGGAUCUACACAGCAGCAGCGUAAUGCCAAAAAGGCUUUCUUUAACCAUGGCAAGAAAAGUUUAAAUAUAUACCAAUUAAAUAGGGGGUUCAAAUGUUUUAACCUUUAUUAUAGACACGAAAAUGCAAGUCUCUUUACAUUGCAUUUUUCUAGGCUUUAUCCUGAGUCCCCUGCAGCUCUGAACAGAACUGUUGCAGAAUCAUCUGUAAUAAAAUAAUCAAAUGCAUCA
rnacentral:lncRNA from 12 species